AUAUAGCUCACCCUAUUGAAGGAUAAUGUAGAGCACUUAAGAGGGUAGCUGGACCAUAUUUUGUUUGACACAUUUCUAUUACAUGUGACCUGUCAAGGAUAGUAAAGUGAUCUGACACUUACCCCUUCUCAUCUCUCUUUCUCCAGGUGUGCGAGUGUCCUCUCUACUGGAAAGCUCCAUUGUUCAGUUCUGGAGGUGACAGGACUGGCUUCGUAUCCGUUCACAAGUUUGUGGCCAAGUGGAGAAAAACGCUGCAGACCUGUCACGGUGAUGUGUCUAAGUUUUUGGACCUCUUGGCCAAACCUGGCUGGAACAAGAGGACUUAAUUCCAUUCCCGCAGGCUCUCUUAUCCUUCUCCCACCUUUCAUUCUCAUCAUACUGAAGACUCUGUGGGGUGAGCCAGGGCAGGGGAACUGGGCAGUCUUAUUGAUUACUGGAGAGGAGUAUUUCCAGACAACAUAUCUCCCCUACUGCUUCACCUGCAUAGGAAGCAACUCUGGGAGAGGUCAGUUCCAAUAAAGUUCAGGAAUGGACUACAUCAAGGACCACCUGGAAGAACCCUUACUGCAGCUAGGUGAUGGCACCAGUUCAUCAGAUGAGGAGGACUUCUUCUCUGCCAUGAAAACGUCUCAAGCACAAGAAAGCUCCAAACAGCUGGACGGAUACCUGGCCUGUUUAGCUGAUCAAAUUGAGUUGCUCAAGUCCUUCCCGGCAGUCUGUAAGCUGUCUCAGAGGUUAAACACACCCUUACCUGCAUCAGCUGUUCAGCACUGCAGGACUUGUUUUCAGUCCCAGGAGUGCAAGGCUGGAUUCCAGAAACUUUGAAAAACAAUUUUUACUGAUGAUGAGCAUUCAAUUCUUCAACUUCACGUAAUGACAGCUUAAUGCUAGCAAGCACAAGGACAUGGCUGCCUCAUGCAUUUUGUUAAUUUAUGUGUAAAAUUCACAGGUUUUAGGUGUCCUUGUUAAAAUGCUUGACCUGUCACACAGAUUUCUGAUACAGUUCCAUCAGUGGUGAUGUCCUCAUAUUCCUACAAUGAGGUUGUGUGUACUUUUGACGAGUUCAAUUUUUUCCCCUAUGAAUAGGGUUCUAUUUUUUCUAAAGCAAAGUGACUGUGUUUGUAAGUGCUUAGGUUUACUGGCUAUAUUCCUUAAUUGUUAAGGCAUAAUUCUAUUUUGUCUGUAAGAGAUGUAUUUUGAAGUGCUGCCUAUUUGAGAAUCCACACAAGUCGUUACCUUUCAGAAAAGCUCAAACCAAAUAAAAGGCCUGGCUGUUUUGCUUU